UGUAACAAAGACAUGAUGUUAGCAGAUGUAAUCAUCACAUUCUGCGAGGAAGCCGGAGACAUACUACAAAACCUAAGUAUGCUUACAGAUGACAGUAGGGUAAUCAAAAUGCGAUACUCUUAUUCAGAAGAGCAAGAUAGAUAUGGAGACGACUGAUUCAACAAUAGAUCGUAGGACCAGGUGGACCCAUACCAAAGACCUAGACUAGGGACUAGCCUAACUACACGUGGCCCUGACACGACAAAACAACUCAUAAGUUGAUGUUUUGAGUAAACUUCCAUCUAAUUUAAAUAAAAAAUAUACUAAAUACAGUUGAUUUUUUAAAGAUACAUCUAUUGACAAUGUGAAUUUUCAUUUUUUAUGCUCUUCUUAAUGCAAUAAGACAAAUCUCAUUUUAAGGUCGUUUUUAAAGUCAUUGUGAAUAUUUAUAGGUUGUAGGGGUUUUUACUGUUUAAAAAGGACAAAUCAAUAUGCUUAAAAUAAUAUAUUUAAUAACAACAAUUAGAGUGUAUACAAAAACUAUCUUUAAUGACUGAACUUGGGAUGAAUUGGCACUGUUAAUUAUUAUUUUUAAUUGUAAUUUAAUAAAUAAAUUCGAUAUACACAACGAUUAGAAAUUGGAAAUUUACAAUGGCGAAGAAAAGAGAAUAAAUUUAGCCUUUCAAAUAUUUAUUGAGGAGGAAAGUGGUUCUUUGAUGUUAACUAAGAAUAAUGUAAUAGGAAAAUAUUCGUAAUGUAUCAUGUGUAAUUAGAAAAUAAAUUGUAUUCAGUUUAUAAUAAUGAGA